UUAAUUGUUGGAAUGCAUUAGAUGCAUUCCAAGUAUUGUUCUUCUAAUCUUUAUUGUUGGAAUGCAUUAGAUGCAUUCCAAGUAUUGUUCUUCUAAUCUUUAUUUGUUGGAAUGCAUUGAGAUGCAUUCCAAGUAUUGUUCUUCGAAUCUUUAUUCUUCAUCUUCAUCCUCUCCUUCUAUUUCUUCCGCGGCACCUUUCAACUCCUUCACACUUUCAGCUAUUAAAACCGUUCAAAUAUUAAAAUGUUCAGCUCCUUUCUGGCUUGAGGGCUAUGACUUUUCAGCUUUCUACCUCUUAUGCUUGAAUUUAUAUAAAUCAAUAAUCAUUAAUAUUUUAACAUGGUUUUCAAAUGGAGUUUGCUUUCAAAUCCUCCUAAACUUCUUCAACUUUCAGAUUUUUCAGCUUCACCAAUCUUUCAGCUACAGACACCAUUUAAACUUUCAAAUGUUGACACAAGUCUCAACUAUUUUAUGAAAAAAACUGCUUCUUGAUAUCUAUUGUACUUUUUUCAUAAUCACUGAUUAUGUUUCACUAGUUCUUCGCUCCGUUUCUGACUUUUACAUGAGUGUGUAUUGCGUCUGCUAGAGGGGGACCUCGCGGGCUAGAGUGUGGGGCAUCGCAGAAAUCUGGUUAAAAAAGUAUGGAACUUCUGUCCUUGCAGCCAAAGUAUACACUCUAGAGGCUUCAUUUCUUCAGAUUAAUGAGGGUAUGGUUGUGCUGAUUGGAUUAAUGUGUUCAUGGAAUCCCAGAGUUUUUUAGUUUUGGCGCAAGGAGUGUUUGAGUGACACAACCUCUGCCAAAAGCCCCAUAGGCUCCAAUACAAAUCUGCCGACAUAUUUCUCACAAAAAUCCACAAGGUACACGUUUUGUCAACGGCCAUAGGAGCCGUAUUUAUUACCGGACAGACAUAAAAAGCACAUCCACGCGUUCGGUAGAGUCUUGGGUCUCAUACAAACGCCGUAUUUUUUAGAUAGCUGUUAUAGUUUUGCGCUGGUUCUCAUUUGUGUGAGGUGUGGAUUCUGUGUAACUCGCUGUCCUGUGUCUGCACUUUUGCAGCCGCACAGGUGCGGCGUUGUCGUGGUUACGAGCACUCACACGCUGCAGGAUCUGUCUGUGGCUCACAGCUGCUCCUUGUGACCUGAUUAGUGGAGUCACAUGACGCAGCUAUGCUUUCUGUCAACAGACCAAUAUGAUAAAGACACUCGCCCCCCCUCCCCCCUCCACCCUGACCUCUGCUCACUGUUAAUCACUCAGUCAGU
ensembl:lncRNA